rnacentral:ribozyme from 1 species
CAAAAAAAGAGAAAGACAAAGAAAAAAAAAAAAGAGAGAGAUGAAAGAUGGAAAAAGUUUUUUGUUUUCUUUUUUUUUGUUUUUU